rnacentral:rRNA from 1 species
UACGUAGGGCGCAAGCGUUGUCCGGAAUUAUUGGGCGUAAAGAGCUCGUAGGCGGCUUGUCACGUCGGGUGUGAAAGCCCGGGGCUUAACCCCGGGUCUGCAUUCGAUACGGGCUAGCUAGAGUGUGGUAGGGGAGAGUGGAAUUCCUGGUGUAGCGGUGAAGUGCGCAGAUAUCAGGAAGAAUAUCCGUGGCGAAGGCGGCUCUCUGGUACGGCACUGACGCUGAGACGCGAAAGCGUGGGGAGCAAACAGG